rnacentral:miRNA from 1 species
AGCUGUCAGGGGUUACAUG